GAGUUUGAUCCUGGCUCAGGAUGAACGCUAGCGGCAGGCCUAACACAUGCAAGUCGAGGGGUAACAGGGGAGCUUGCUCCCGCUGACGACCGGCGCACGGGGGAGUAACACGCGUAUGCAACCUGCCCACUACAGGGGGAUAGCCCGGGGAAACCCGGAUUAAUACCCCAUAAUACCAUAAAGCGGCAUCGUUUAAUGGUUAAAGCUUCGGCGGUAGUGGAUGGGCAUGCGUGCCAUUAGCUUGUUGGUGAGGUAACGGCUCACCAAGGCUACGAUGGCUAUGGGGUCUAAAAGGAUGGUCCCACACACUGGUACUGAGACACGGACCAGACUCCUACGGGAGGCAGCAGUGAGGAAUAUUGGUCAAUGGGCGAAAGCCUGAACCAGCCAUGCCGCGUGCAGGAUUAAGGCCCUACGGGUCGUAAACUGCUUUUACGGGGGAAGAAAGGGCGCCACGUGUGGCGUUUUGACGGUACCCCGUGAAUAAGCACCGGCUAACUCCGUGCCAGCAGCCGCGGUAAUACGGAGGGUGCGAGCGUUAUCCGGAUUUAUUAGGUUUAAAGGGUGUGCAGGCGGGUAUUUAAGUCAGGGGUGAAAGCCCCCCGCUCAACGGGGGAACUGCCUUUGAUACUGGAUACCUUGAGUGCAGUUGAAGUGGGCGGAAUGUGUGGUGUAGCGGUGAAAUGCAUAGAUAUCACACAGAACACCGAUUGCGAAGGCAGCUCACUAAGCUGCAACUGACGCUGAGGCACGAAAGCGUGGGUAGCGAACAGGAUUAGAUACCCUGGUAGUCCACGCCGUAAACGAUGGUCACUCGCUGUCGGCGAUACACAGUCGGCGGCCGAGCGAAAGUAUUAAGUGACCCACCUGGGGAGUACGCCGGCAACGGUGAAACUCAAAGGAAUUGACGGGGGCCCGCACAAGCGGAGGAACAUGUGGUUUAAUUCGAUGAUACGCGAGGAACCUUACCCGGGCUUGAAUUUAGUAUGACCGUACCCGAAAGGGUAUUUCUCUCUUCGGAGCAAAUUACAAGGUGCUGCAUGGCUGUCGUCAGCUCGUGCCGUGAGGUGUCGGGUUAAGUCCCAUAACGAGCGCAACCCCUAUUGUUAGUUGCUAGCGGAUAAUGCUGAGGACUCUAACGAGACUGCCACCGUAAGGUGAGAGGAAGGUGGGGAUGACGUCAAAUCAGCACGGCCCUUAUGUCCAGGGCUACACACGUGUUACAAUGGCAGGUACAAAGGGCAGCUACCUAGUGAUAGGAUGCUAAUCUCGAAAGCCUGUCUUAGUUCGGAUCGAAGUCUGCAACUCGACUUCGUGAAGUUGGAUUCGCUAGUAAUCGUAUAUCAGCAAUGAUACGGUGAAUACGUUCCCGGGCCUUGUACACACCGCCCGUCAAGCCAUGGAAGCUGGGGGUACCUGAAGUCCGUAACCGCAAGGAUCGGCCUAGGGUAAAACUAGUGACUGGGGCUAAGUCGAAACAAGGUAGCCGUA
rnacentral:rRNA from 1 species